GCGGACGCGAGACCGUCAGCAAGCUGGAAAAAGUUAGCCACAGUGAAUGGAAUGUUUUGCCCGCUAGAGAACGUUUAAUUGAUAUUGUUUAGGAACAGUAAGGUCGUUUACCUAUUAGAGUGCAGUUUUGGACACUGCGGCAACGAAAGGCUGAGAAAAGGCUGCGAGAAAGAACGCGCUACAAAUCUCGAAAGGAACAGAAAAGCCGAGCGCAGCACAGCACAUAAUCUGGGUGCUCCCAUGUGGGGUGGGGGCGUGGGCGAAGGUGUGCAGCAUCUGGUUCGCUUCUCAGCCUUGCAAGAACCGCCGGGCCGUUUUCCUUACACUUCAGACUCCGGUCAUGUGCUGCCAGAACAAUCCCAUAAACCUUCAGGAUGCUGGCAUGUAGGUUUCUGAGGGAGGUCCUCUAUAACCGUCAGCAUGGACAGACAUGGCUUCACUUUUACCGUGCACCACGUCCAA